GUUGUUUUCAUUUCAAAGUAGUUUUUCCAUUUCCUUGACCAGCUCUCCAUUCAGGUUAAUCCAUAGAGUUGCCUAGUAACAGCUUCAAUGACUAAACAAAGAACAAGCACCUUCCUCUGAAGUAUGCAACAAGUCACUGUUAGGGGCAGGAUAUCAGAGGAGAUGGACCACGGGUCUAACAAUUGCGUUCAUCUUUCUUCUCCCUCUUUAAUAGGACAGAGUGAGAAGCUUCAAUGCCUGGGAUCAGGGAAGGGAGAGUCUUAGGUCUCCUUGGAGUGUCACAAAAGAUUUCUAUGUUAACAUUUCAGGUUGAGGAGGCAGAUGCACUAACACAUCUAUGACAAGGAGAACAGCUUCCUAAGAAAUCCAAGUUUCAUACUGAUUGCCUGAGACUUCAGGGCAUUUUUAUUCCAGCAAAUGGCAGACAUCAGGUACUCUGUCCUCCAGAGACAGUGUACUUGAUUCUCCUCUCAUUUAUACUGGGUUUCAAGCAUUGUAUAACUCCAUUGACUUAUUGUGGAAUUGAUCUGGUGUUAAGCAAAAGAAUUAAGUUCAUUAUAUUUUCAGUCAGAUACAUCAAUAGCCCUGGAAUUCCCUUUUCCAGGUUUCCAUAAAUCUGUGGCAUUGAAAUAUUUCAGCAGAGAAUACAUUGCAAUUCCUCUGUCUUGCUGAAAUGUGUUCUAUCGAUACUGAUAUUUUAGUAAGAUAUGUCAUGUUCCCAGACUUCCAGGCCAGAGGAAACCAUUCUGAUCUAAUCUGACUUCCUGCAUAAUACAAGCCAAUAAUUUCGACAUCAACCCGAUAACUCCUAUUUGAGCUAAAGCAUUUCUUUUCGAAAGAUAUCCAAUCUUGAUUUAAAGAUUUCAAGUGAUGAAGAUCCACCAUAACCCUAAGUAAAAAAUAGUGGAAAUGAUUCCUUAAGAAAAAAUCUCCUGGUAUGGUUUGUGAUUGGGACAGAAUCUCCUGUCCAGCUUCUGAGAACGUGCACAGAUGUACACCAUUGACAUCCACAGAAAACUACUGGUUAAGAGUUUCAAGGAGUCCUUUGAUUUCUCUUUGGUGUUAAGCUGGAAGCCAGCUCUAUAAUAAAUCUUGACUUCCCCGUCAUGCUUUGCUUCAGGAAAUACAAAGUAAAACUAUUGAUGCCUAAGUUGUUAUAGUAUGUCAUUAAUAAGUUUAUAAGCUUGGUGAAAACAGACACAUAUAGAACACAGAACUAAUAAAGAAAGCUAAUUCUGCCUUUUAA